ACUCCUACGGGAGGCAGCAGUGAGGAAUAUUGGACAAUGGGCGGGAGCCUGAUCCAGCCAUGCCGCGUGCAGGAAGACUGCCCUAUGGGUUGUAAAAUGCUUUGUAUCAGGAAGAACAGACAUCCCUCGUCGAGGGAGGCUUUGACGGUACUGUAAGAAUAAGGAUCGGCUAACUCCGUGCCAGCAGCCGCGGUAAUACGGAGGAUCCAAGCGUUAUCCGGAAUCAUUGGGUUUAAAGGGUCCGUAGGUGGAUGAUUAAGUCAGAGGUGAAAUCCUGCAGCUCAACUGUAGAAUUGCCUUUGAUACUGGUUGUCUUGAAUUAUUGUGAAGUAGUUAGAAUAUGUGGUGUAGCGGUGAAAUGCAUAGAUAUCACAUAGAAUACCGAUUGCGAAGGCAGAUUACUAACAAUACAUUGACACUGAUGGACGAAAGCGUGGGGAGCGAACAGGAUUAGAUACCCUGGUAGGCUCUG
rnacentral:rRNA from 1 species